UAGGGAAUCUUCCACAAUGGGCGCAAGCCUGAUGGAGCAACACCGCGUGAGUGAAGAAGGUUUUCGGAUCGUAAAACUCUGUUGGUAGAGAAGAACGUUGGUGAGAGUGGAAAGCUCAUCAAGUGACGGUAACUACCCAGAAAGGGACGGCUAACUACGUCCCAG
rnacentral:rRNA from 1 species